AUCCCAGAACAACAGCAAAUGACCUUGUGAAGAUGCUGGAGGAAACAGGUACAAAAGUAUCUAUAUCCACAGUAAAACGAGUCUUAUAUCAACAUAACCUGUAAGGCCACUCAGCAAGGAAGAAGCCACUGCUCCAAAACCGCCAUAAAAAAAGCCAGACUACGGUUUGCAACUGCACAUGUGGACAAAGAUUGUACUUUUUGGAGAAAUGUCCUCUGGUCUGAUAAAACAAAAAAAAACUGUUUGGCCAUAAUGACCAUUGUUAUGUUUGCAGGUAAAAGGGGAGGCUUGCAAGCCGAAGAACACCAUCCUAAACUGGGAAGCACGGGGUGGCAGCAUCAUGUUGUGGGGGUGCUUUGCUGCAGGAGGGACUGGUGCAAUUCCCAAAAUAGAUGGCCUCAUGAGAUAAAGAGAGCUAUGAAAGCCUGUCUACAUAUGAAGAGGUCCCAAAUGAAGAGCAGUGGUUCUCAGUCCUGGUCCUGGGGACUCAAAGAGGGGCACAGUUUUGUUUUUGCCUUAGCACUGCACUGCUGAUUUCUAAUGAUCAACUCAUCAUCAACUUCAAGUGAUACCUUGUAACUGGAGAUUCCUUCAAAACGAUUGCCUCCAGUUAACGUGUAGGGCACUGCAAGGUUUGGUGAUCAGGGCCAUCUGGGAAUGCCUCCUCAAAUCAACAGGUGUACACCUUACAGUAAAAAAUACACAACAGGUGUAAACAUUACAGUAAAAUGCUUACUUACAGGCUCUAACCAAUGGUGCCAAAAAAAGGUGUGUGUGUGUAGGUAAGUAAAGAAAUAAAACAACAGUAGAAAGACAUUUGAAAAAAGAGUAGCAUGGCUAUAUACAGACACCUGUUAGUCAGGCUUAUUGAGGUAGUAUGUACAUGUAGGUAUCGUUAAAGUGACUGUGCAUAUGAUGAACAGAGAGUAGCAGAAGCGUAAAAAGAGGGGUUGGCGGGUGGUGGGACACAAUGCAGAUAGCCCGGUUAGCCAAUGUGCGGGUUGGAGCACUGGUUGGUCGGGCCAAUUUAGGUAGUAUGUACCUGAAUGUAUAGUUAAAGUGACUAAGCAUUUAAGAUAAACAGAGAGUAGCAGCAGCAUAAAAGAGGGGUUGGGGGGGGCACACAAUGCAAAUAAUCCGGGUAACCAUUGGUUACCUGUUCAGGAGUCUUAUGGCGUGGGGGUAAAAACUGUUGAGAAGCCUCUUUGUCCUAGACUUGGCACUCCGGUACCGCUUGCCAUGCGGUAGUAGAUAGAACAGUCUAUGACUCUUGGAGGAAUUCAGGUGUGUGAAGGCUACCUCUGUCCUACAUAACUUCAUGAGGAUGGACACGAGGACCAGGAGUGGAUCUGCAGCUUGCGCAGCAAGAGAGGCAAUCCGUGUGCAGGAGAUCUUCACCUCCCACUUCUUUGAAGAGGGUGCUGUUCCCUGGCAUCACCGUAGACUACACUAUGCACAAUCAAAGGCUCUUUUAAGAGCCAUUCACAUUGCAAUAAGAGUAUUCUUCCAUUUACUUAACUAUGUCAACUGCAGUUAUUCAAUUUCCAGUUUCUCUCACUUUGAUUUUUACUUCUCAGGUGAGGGUGCUGUUUAGGUAAGGGUGUGAUGUCUGUACAAAAACAGGCUAUUUUAAAUGACCCAUAUUGAAAAAAUGUAGAACAAUUAGACGCCCUUUAACCCACACCUACACACUCAUGUAUCAAUCUGAUUGAUGGAUUGUUGUGCAGUAAGCAGGUUCAGGUGUAGAACUGUGGCUCCUUUCCCCUUCAAAGAAUAGGCAAGAUGGCCAACCAUGGAGAAUAGUAAGACUCUUCAUUAUUUCUAUAACUACGCUAUAUUGUUUGUGCCUGUGUGUCCGUUCAUGUUUUUCAGCAUAAAGUAUUCUGCAGCCACUUAGUGUGGCCACACACACAGAUUCCUGUUGAACGCUGUCUCUUUAACUACCUUAUUUUCUCAAUAACAGUCUCUCUCCUUCACUUCAUCCCUCUCUCCUCUUCUCCCUAAAUCUUCUAGGUUAUAUCAGCUGUGUCGGUGAACCCCUCCCGCAUCUAAACUGGCUACAUAGAGGGCACAGCAUGAUCAGAGAUAUGUUUUGAUGUGAGAGGAUGCCAACCCCCAGUCCCAUCAACGCCACCUCACCCGCUUUUAAGAUAACCUUCGGGUCGACUAGAGACACUAUGUAAUUGUGAUGAACUGAGAGAAUAUUAGGGUAGCACUGUGAUUCAUUAAUCAUUUUCUGCCUUCCCUGCUCCUAAGUUCUUACCUCUUUCCCUAUCUUUUACACCUCUCUCGCCACCUCUUUCUUCCUGUUUUUAUAAUGCACAACAAAUGUGCAUUGAAGUAAAGAUUGAACUUGUAUUUAUGAUAUUACAAUUAUAAUAUUUAUAAUGCAUGUACUUAUAACACUUGGAUAAUGAACUUCUUUCAAUAAAGCGUUUCACAU